rnacentral:rRNA from 1 species
CCCUGCUUGCAGGGUACUCGAGUGGCGAACGGGUGAGUAACACGUGGGUGAUCUGCCCUGCACUUCGGGAUAAGCCUGGGAAACUGGGUCUAAUACCGGAUAGGAGCCAUUUUUAGUGUGAUGGUUGGAAAGUUUUUUCGGUGUAGGAUGAGCUCGCGGCCUAUCAGCUUGUUGGUGGGGUAAUGGCCUACCAAGGCGGCGACGGGUAGCCGGCCUGAGAGGGUGGACGGCCACAUUGGGACUGAGAUACGGCCCAGACUCCUACGGGAGGCAGCAGUGGGGAAUAUUGCACAAUGGGCGCAAGCCUGAUGCAGCGACGCCGCGUGGGGGAUGACGGCCUUCGGGUUGUAAACUCCUUUCGCUAGGGACGAAGCUUUUUGUGACGGUACCUAGAUAAGAAGCACCGGCUAACUACGUGCCAGCAGCCGCGGUAAUACGUAGGGUGCGAGCGUUGUCCGGAAUUACUGGGCGUAAAGGGCUCGUAGGUGGUUUGUCGCGUCGUCUGUGAAAUUCCGGGGCUUAACUCCGGGCGUGCAGGCGAUACGGGCAUAACUUGAGUACUGUAGGGGUAACUGGAAUUCCUGGUGUAGCGGUGAAAUGCGCAGAUAUCAGGAGGAACACCAAUGGCGAAGGCAGGUUACUGGGCAGUUACUGACGCUGAGGAGCGAAAGCAUGGGUAGCGAACAGGAUUAGAUACCCUGGUAGUCCAUGCCGUAAACGGUGGGCGCUAGGUGUGAGGGUCUUUUCACGACUUUCGUGCCGUAGCUAACGCAUUAAGCGCCCCGCCUGGGGAGUACGGCCGCAAGGCUAAAACUCAAAGGAAUUGACGGGGGCCCGCACAAGCGGCGGAGCAUGUGGAUUAAUUCGAUGCAACGCGAAGAACCUUACCUGGGCUUGACAUACACCGGAUCGGGCUAGAGAUAGUCUUUCCCUUUGUGGCUGGUGUACAGGUGGUGCAUGGUUGUCGUCAGCUCGCGUCGUGAGAUGUUGGGUUAAGUCCCGCAACGAGCGCAACCCUUGUCUUAUGUUGCCAGCAUUUGGUUGGGGACUCAUGAGAGACUGCCGGGGUCAAC